UUACAGCCAUAUCAUGUUGAAACAUUGGUUCUCAUCACAUCACCAAAGUUAAGAAACAUUGAACCUGGUCAGUACCUAGAUGGGUGACCAUGUGAGAAUACCAGAUAUUGUAAG